UGCCCAGCAACUCCUAUCCCUACCUCCUCGUGGUACUGGCCGGGGUACGAGUAACCUUGGGGAAGAUCGGGUAAUCAACCCCUGGUGGGAACUUUGGUCGUAUGCUGACAGGGAAGG
rnacentral:ribozyme from 1 species